CUUCCCUUUUUCUGCUACAGUUUCACAGUAACAUGAGCAGUUGUACAUAUAGGAUAAAAUAAUAUUAGGACAUUGUAAAUGGAGAUGAAGUCAUCAUUUCCAUCUCUUCUGCAUGGACUAGACAUUG
rnacentral:snoRNA from 1 species